rnacentral:rRNA from 1 species
AUUGAACGCUGGCGGCAUGCCUUACACAUGCAAGUCGAACGGAAACAUGAGGUAGCUUGCUCGAUUGCUGGCGCGUGGCGCACGUGUGAGUAAUGUAUCGGAACUUGCCCUAUGGUGGGGGAUAACUCGUGGAAACGUUAGCUAAUACCGCAUACAUCCUGAGGGUCAAAGUGGGGGACCGAAAGGCCUCAUGCCAUUGGAGUAGCCGAGGUCGGAUUAGCUAGUUGGUAAGGUAAAGGCUCACCAAGGCGACGAUCAGUAGCUGGUCUGAGAGGACGAUCAGCCACACUGGGACUGAGACACGGUCCAGACUCCUACGGGAGGCAGCAGUGGGGAAUAUUGCACAAUGGGCGAAAGCCUGAUGCAGCAAUGCCGCGUGUGUGAAGAAGGCCUUCGGGUUGUAAAGCACUUUUAUCCGGGAAGAAAUGACUCGGGUUAAUACCUGCGGUCGAUGACGGUACCUGAAGAAUAAGCACCGGCUAACUACGUG